AUAUGGUCAAGGCCAUGCCAAUCACAUAUGAUAACCUCCCACGAUCGGUGCCUAUAAGGGCACAUCCAGGCUAACACAUCGACUGUAUGCCGAUCCCGAUCCACUGACCCAUUUAGUCAUGUAGACCACCGCCAAUAAUUUCCUAAUAGAAUAUCAGAGCAUGGCCAUCACCCAUGACCAACAAUUUCUAACAUCCAGAUUUCUAUCCCAAUAGCCUAACAAAUCAUGGCCUAGCCUGAAGGUCUGCCGGGUUCAUGUGGGAUAGCCGGCCAGUCCCCUCUCGAUAAAGAGGUAAGAAGGAAACCCCGAAGGUAUGCUAUGCUAGG
rnacentral:lncRNA from 1 species